AAUGGUGGCUUUUCAUCACCUAGAGUUGUCAGAGCAGCUAAUAGCGCAUGAACAGGAAGAAAAUUGGGCUUCUCUAAGUGAAUUGGGUGUUGAAAGACACUGAGAUAAAUGGUGGAGGCAGUGAGAAUGACGAAGUUUCAAGUUUGAAGUAACACGUUUGAGAGGAAAGCCCUUCCCCUUCAGUGGUCAGCUAACUACUCCUCCAUGAAGCCAUCCCUGAUUCCUACUCCAGCCCCCCCAAGGAAGAGAUUCAAGAUUCAACAGGGAAACUUUUGACCUUCGUUGUGAAGAAACCCAUCUAGGCAGACUCAGACUUGGACUAGAACUUAUGUCAUAAGCUCUCCUGGUUCUCAGGCUGUCAGACUUGGACUGGAAUGACACCAUCAGUUCUCCUGCAUCUGUAGCUUGCUGACUGAAGAUCUUACAGCUUCUCAUCCUCCAUAAUUGUGUGAGCCAAUUCCGCAUAACAAAUUAAUACAUAUCUACAUAGAUAUCUGAUUAGUUCUGUUUCUCUGGAUAACUCUGAUUUAUAUGCAUAGUCUUAUAAUGAAUUAAUAAAAAAUUAAACAGGAAUGAGAAAAUGAAAUAAACAUCCAAUGGAAGUAGUUAGAAAAAAGGCAAUAAAUGUCAAGAAAGUAGAAAGGAAUUAAUAAAUGUUAAAACAGAAAUCAAGUAA